GACGAACGCUGGCGGCGUGCUUAACACAUGCAAGUCGAACGGAAAGGCCCUGCUUGCAGGGUGCUCGAGUGGCGAACGGGUGAGUAACACGUGGGUGAUCUGCCCCUUACUUUGGGAUAAGCCUGGGAAACUGGGUCUAAUACUGGAUAGGACCAUGCUGUAGGUGGUGUGGUGGAAAGAUUAGUUUCGGUAAGGGAUGAGCUCGCGGCCUAUCAGCUUGUUGGUGGGGUAAUGGCCUACCAAGGCGUCGACGGGUAGCCGGCCUGAGAGGGUGGACGGCCACAUUGGGACUGAGAUACAGCCCAGACUCCUACGGGGGGCAGCAGUGGGGAAUAUUGCACAAUGGGCGCAAGCCUGAUGCAGCGACGCCGCGUGGGGGAUGACGGCCUUCGGGUUGUAAACUCCUUUCAGCCAUGACGAAGCCUUCGGGUGACGGUAGUGGUAGAAGAAGCACCGGCUAACUACGUG
rnacentral:rRNA from 1 species